rnacentral:rRNA from 1 species
AUUGAACGCUGGCGGAAUGCUUUACACAUGCAAGUCGAACGGCAGCACGGACUUCGGUCUGGUGGCGAGUGGCGAACGGGUGAGUAAUGUAUCGGAACGUGCCCAGUCGUGGGGGAUAACGUAGUGAAAAUUACGCUAAUACCGCAUACGAUCUAUGGAUGAAAGCGGGGGAUCGCAAGACCUCGCGCGAUUGGAGCGGCCGAUAUCAGAUUAGGUAGUUGGUGGGGUAAAGGCCCACCAAGCCAACGAUCUGUAGCUGGUCUGAGAGGACGACCAGCCACACUGGAACUGAGACACGGUCCAGACUCCUACGGGAGGCAGCAGUGGGGAGUUUUGGACAAUGGGCGAAAGCCUGAUCCAGCCAUUCCGCGUGCAGGAUGAAGGCCCUCGGGUUGUAAACUGCUUUUGUACAGAACGAAAAGGUUUCUACUAAUACUAGGAGUUCAUGACGGUACUGUAAGAAUAAGCACCGGCUAACUACGUGCCAGCCGCCGCGGUAA